AUCCUGGCUCAGGAUGAAACGCUGGCGGCGUGCUUAACACAUGCAAGUCGAACGAAGCGAUUUGACGGAAGUUUUCGGAUGGAAGUCAAAUUGACUGAGUGGCGGACGGGUGAGUAACGCGUGGGUAACCUGCCUCAUACAGGGGGAUAACAGUUAGAAAUGACUGCUAAUACCGCAUAAGCGCACGGAGACGCAUGUUUCUGUGUGAAAAACUCCGGUGGUAUGAGAUGGACCUGCGUCUGAUUAGCUAGUUGGUGAGGUAACGGCCCACCAAGGCGACGAUCAGUAGCCGACCUGAGAGGGUGACCGGCCACAUUGGGACUGAGACACGGCCCAAACUCCUACGGGAGGCAGCAGUGGGGAAUAUUGCACAAUGGGGGAAACCCUGAUGCAGCGACGCCGCGUGAGUGAAGAAGUAUUUCGGUAUGUAAAGCUCUAUCAGCAGGGAAGAGAAUGACGGUACCUGACUAAGAAGCCCCGGCUAACUACGUGCC
rnacentral:rRNA from 1 species